GUUUUACGCAAAAAGGUGCAUGCUCUCAUUGAUCGAAAAUCUAGCAAAAAAUAUGAUCGUAACGCGUGAUGCUUUCUAUCAAGAAUGCCUCAUGUUUCUAGAACAAUGUGAAUUGUACGGUCGCGAGGUGCUGACGUCAACCCAAUUAUUGUCGGGAAUUCAAACUUCCAUAACGGCAAAAACACUGUGACCUACGAAGCUAGACUUCUAAAAGCUUUACUGUUGAAAAUGCAACUGCAUUGAAAAUUUCUCGUCUGCUCAGAUUCUUGUUAGUUUAAAAUUUGUCUUUUAAGCAGUUAACGUCUGUUAUUUUCAUAAGAAAACUAAGAGAUUUCAUUUAAAGGAUUGUGAUGGUGAGAUUCUUUCAUGCAAAAUGUUUCUUCAAAAGAAUUAAAAAAUAAGUUGUCAGGAUUUGAAAUUUCUAGGUCUUGGCAGAGUUUGUCAAGCGCUGACAUCCACAACAUUUCUUUCAUUGAUUUUAAAUUUCCUUUAAAAAUCUGAAAGUGGUGUCAUCAAGCACAUCAAAAACAAGAAAACUUCUUGAACUAUUUUAAAAUGAUAGUCAUUUUAUUCUGAAAAAUAAAUCUACAUUUACAGUAUUAACAAUAAAAAACAUGUAUCAGUUUUUCAUAUUAUUCAGGUAAGGGCACUUGAAAAAGCAGAAAGCUAACAAAAUCGACAGUUUUCUUGAAAAUUUGGGAUACAGCUCAUCCCCACCAAAUAAAGAUGAUCCCUUCGACAUUUACAACAAUACGCAACUCAUAUUGCACCUUCUUUUUCCACAAAAAUCUCAAGUUGAAAAAUUAUCUUCACUCUGAUAAUAAAAACAGAAUAACUGAUGAUUAAUUGAUUCUUAAUUGAGGAUGUAUUUUUAAACAAAAUAUGUUUUAAGCAUUAAAAGCAUCACAAAUUUUAGUUUCUUGUCACAAGAAAUUAUUGCAAGUCAGAGGUAAUUUACAGUUAUGAAUUAAUGAACUCUGCAGAGCGAAUUCUUUGUAUUUUUCUGAGCAAUAAUUUAUUUUUUUUUUAAAAAAGAGCCUUGCAUUAAUGAACAGAAUUAGAUUUUUUGGGGGCCCAACAAACUAUUAACUUGUUUACUUAAAGCCACAGCUUUGUGCCGGGCCAGAUUUGAAUCAAACCCUGGACAAACUUAGCAUCAAUGUUUACGAUAAACUGAUGAUUCUACGAUGGACCGCUUUCUUGUCAAGAUUCAUGUGAGGAGUGUGACCAACUUAAAACUUAUCUCGUAGGCAAUUUAUUGAUUAGUUAAGGUAUUUUCGUAUUGUUACGGUUGAACAUAUAACAUACAAUUUUCCUAAUUUUGACAGCAAUAAAACGAUAUGAAAUGAUUGCAACUAAUUUUCCUUCCUGUUUUCUCAAAGAACAUGUGAUAAAUGUUUUGUACUUUGAUUUUCAACUUCUGAUAAUGAGUUUAGGAAUAUUAGGAAGCGUUCAAAAUUAUUCAUUUACGCAUAUUUUAUCAUAAUACUAGUUCUAGAUGCGGCAGGGUCAGAUUUAAUCAUACAGUAAAAAAUUUAGAAUCAAAACUUUAGAAUGACUUAACGGCCUGUCUAAACUUUUAAAACCAAAGAGAUUUCAUCAAUCUUUUGGGUCAAGCAAGCAUAGCGAUGGCCAAAGUGCAAAACCACCACGUAUCUCCAUGUGCGACGUUGCAGACUUCCAAUCAUUCUUUAUUCCUUUUUAUGGAAAACUAGUUAACGUAAUUUCUUGAGAAUUUUCUUGAUUUUUCUUCUCUGUCAGCAGAAUAUUCUGUAUGAGUUAGAAGCUAUGAAGUUAGCUUAUUCUUCUUUGAAAAAUUAAAGAGGAGCAUACGUUUUGCAAAACCUCAAUGGGGAUACGAGGUUUCCCACUUUGACCAUCGAUAGAUACUUUUUUCUUCUUACGAAGGUAUGCCAGAGCAGUCUUUAGACUGUGGGUACUUUUCUGAAUAUCAUGUUUCAAGUCUUAACAUUAGGUAAUCCCAUCCAGAAUUUUUUUUUGGAAAACCUCAAUUAAACUACAGUAAAAUCUUGAUUUAUCGGAUUUCGCGGGACCGGAGGCCAAAUCCGUUAAAUUGCGGAAUCCGUUAAUUCGAAAUAGCGGAUUUCGGCGAAACUCGACAAAAUCCGUAGAAUCGAGUUUUAUCCGGAAAAAUUCUAAAAAUCUCUAUUUUCCCCCUUGGAAAAAACGUGAAUUGUGUCGGAUUGUAACUGCAGUGGCGUGGUGUUUAAUUAUCUUACUUUUUGCCGUUUCUGACAAAUCAUUUGAAUUUUCUGGUAAAAAAGGACCUCUCCCAUCUUUUUUCUACCUGUACAGAAAAAUGAGGCUCAGGUU
rnacentral:lncRNA from 1 species